GGCAGACUGCUCAGGCUGUUCAAAGGGCCUGCACCUGCCCCAGCACAGCAGCCUGAAGAGCCCAGCAGUGCUCCAUUCCUACACAGACACGGGAAGAGGGCAGAACCAGAGGCCAUCGUGGCCUAACGGUGAGCUUUGGGUGUGCCAAAAAGCAAAUGAAGCAGCAGCAGCAGCAGCGGAGUGGCUGAGACUCAGAGCCGCNUGCGUGGUUUUGGGCCUUUGCCCCGGCAGGCCUGGAGUAGCUGCUGCUACUGAGGUCUUCUCCUUUCCUCCAGGACAACAGCCACGUGCAGCUGCUCGCCAUUCAGCUCUUCGGCAAGGUGAUGGAGCAGGUCAUGGAAGAGGGGAAAAAGCCUCUCACGAGAAUCGUGAACCAGAGCCUGCUCCCUCUCUUCUUGCGCUGGCAUGAGGAGAACUGGCGCGUGGCAAAGGUGAGGUUUUGUGUGACGGUGCUGCUGCUGCUGCAUCGCUGGCAGGGGGCUCGGCUGCCUCCAGCCCUGGCACCUCGCGGGCUCCAGCCUCCCCCUGGCCUUGGCACAGGGACGCGGGUCCCGUGCCCCGGGCUCUGGUGCCACCUGCGGCUCUCUGCUGCUCUCCAGGCAUCUCGCCAAACACUGCUUUGUGCGGCACGGUUCCUGAGGAGGAGCGAUCUCGAGGUGCUACUGAGGAAGCAGCUGCGGAUGAAGUUCGCCGAGUGCCUGCUGCUGGAGGACGAGAGCCGAGCGGCCGAACACGUGCGCUGGGCCCUGCCGUGCCUGCAGAGCCCACAGAGGUGCCUGCGAGAGGCGGCCGUCAGGUUCAUCGGGGUCGCCGGGGUGCUCAUGAUGGGGCAGAAGGAGGAGCUCCAGGUGCUCAGCGAGGCCCUUCAAGCCCUCAGAGAAGAUGAGAGCCCCUCCUUAAUGAGCCAGGUUGUCCAGCAGACGUUUGACAGAAGAUCUGCUCAACUUCGUCUGCUGGAUCAAUAGAACCGGUGUCCUUCGGCGACCUCCAGGUCCCAUUGAAGAUGGGACCACCUGCAGAGCAGAGGGGACCAGCUCCAGCUCCAGCUCCAGCUGAUGCUGGUCCUAGCUGAACCUGUUGGAAGCUCCAGCAGCUCCUGCAUCUCUCUCCCUGUUGGCAGCUCCCUCCCUCCAGCCCUUGGCCCCUGCCCAUCCCCUUUUUUCCCUCCCAGCUCACCCCUUCGCUUUGCCUUCCCCUAUUAAACAGUUUGAUUUCUUCACUUUACCCACGUCUCUGUGGAGCUGAAGUAGCACAAAACCUGAGCCCUGGGACACGCAGGGCCCUGCUGCCGUUCCCUUCUGCGCUGUGUUUUGUGCACGGACACAGAGGAACGAGCUGAGGCUGCAAAGGUCCCUGUCCUGCAGGUGCAGCAGCACAAUAUCGUGGAGUUCAAGGUCACUCUGAGCACGCUGCAGGGGACAAGGACCCUGGCUUUUAGAAGAGCCAACCUGAGUAUGCUCUGAUCCCAGUCGUGAGGGAUUCCAUGGCGAGCAUUGACGGAGGGCAAAGGAGCUUGCAGGGUUGGAAGUUUUCACAGAGCUUCCUCCAAGCACAGCAAUGCUCCAUUCCUACACAGACACGGGAAGAGGGCAGAACCAGAGGCCAUCGUGGCCUAACGGUGAGCUUUGGGUGUGCCAAAAAGCAAAUGAAGCAGCAGCAGCAGCAGCGGAGUGGCUGAGACUCAGAGCCGCGACCGUGCUGGGUGUGGGUCUGGCGGUUCAGCUCUCCCCACAAGCGAGGAAUCGCAGCCCCUGCCUCAGAGCCAGUCAGAAAGCCAACCAAGUGAGACCAGAGGCUGGGGAGCCUUCCCAUCUCUCUUGGCCAUGGCUGCAAAGCACCACUGCGUCUUCCUGCGCCUGUGUUUGGGGUGUGCUGAGCCCAGAGGCGGCCAGCUCGGGCUCUGUUGUCCCAAGAGCGUUCUGGGUGGGCACGGGAAGUGCUGUGUGCACAGUGGAGUGUCCUGGAAGGUGCUCACGAGAAGCUCCUGUGGGAACAGGGCUCUGCUCUCUGGCUGGGAACAGCCUGGAUUUGCUGCCAAGACCGCAGGCAGGAGUUGAGGCACGUGAAGAGGCCGCGGGCAGCUCGUGUUUGCAGGGGACGUGGGGCUGUGCACCAAAAGAGACAUGGGGAAACAGACUUAGGUUAAGGAAUGGCAUUCUAGCCAAGAAGAGGGAAUUUAUAUUGUUUAGGGAAUGAAUACACCCUACAAGUACUGACUAUGUAGCAAUGCACUUUAGCGCUUCCUUACACUAGAUUUAGUGAAAGGUGAAACAUAUGGUCGGGUCUUAACAUAAAAUUAGGUGCAAAACCUUUUUUUCCUGUAAAGCAAUUUUCAGGAGAUUAAGAUCUACAAAUGGAUUAGAAAAUACAUGUUCUAUCUAUACCUUUAAAACAACCUUUACAUUGCUGAUAGAUGGUAUGUUUGGAAAUAGCUGAAGGAGAUCAGCUCUGUCCAAACAUAUUUCUUAGUGUUACAGAUGAGUGUGUUUUUCCAGUAGCUAGGUAACCAGAAACACUUCCCUUCAGCUUGUUGGCCUUUGGACUUUUUCAUUUUAAGUAGAGAAAAAGUGAAAAAGAAGACAUUGGGUUAAUAGAUGUCUGUGGUAACAAGAUGUACACAACUUUGUCUCCUCAAGGGUGGACCUGCCCCUGCAGUUAAUAUGCAGCUCAAACUUGCUUUGUUCUGUUGUUGGACUGCUUUGGAAUUCUGCUUGGGAAUGCCCUCAUUGACCGUUUUGAGGCCGCAAGUGGGUUGAACUGCAUUUUUAGUCAUUGAAGUGCACUGGAAAAUGCAACUAGAUCCUCAAUUUGACCUUGAAAAAUGAAAUGCUUUGAAAUGUAGGAUUUGCUUCACACCAGCAAUGUAAGAACUGUUUCUGCUGAGCUUUAAUUUGGUAUUGUCUGAAACUCUUUUAUAUUUCCAGAGGACAUUUACUUUCAAAUCUCUAGGGAAAUCCAGAUUUCCAGACAUUUAUUUUCAAAUAUCUGAGGAAAAGGAACUAAUUUUCUAUUCCAAACACAUUGAAAGGCAACAGAACAUAAUUCUGUGGUUUUGCCACUGACAUUGGCUGAUGAAAUAAUAAUGGUUAUUUUUAAUGAGAACAGAGAGGAUUUUUUGAGGUGCAGUGAGAACCAGAAUGAUUCCAUCAUAUCUGUCCUUAGAUUUCUGAAUGGUUUUGCAGAGAAAAAGACGCAAGUGAUUCCAGAGAUUUCUAAAUUUUGUGCUAGAAAGGGAAGAUGUUCAUAGCAAGAGUAUAUGGUGAGAUUUUAAUGGGAUAUAUUGUUUCAUGCAAUACCUCUUAGUUGUAUCUUAAUAAAGACUUCAAAAUGUGUUUGGAGGAUGUUUCU
ensembl:lncRNA